rnacentral:rRNA from 1 species
CUUUGCUGACGAGCGGCGGACGGGUGAGCAAUACUUGGGUAUCUGCCCGAUAGUGGGGGACAACACGGGGAAACUCGUGCUAAUACCGCAUACGCCCUACGGGGGAAAGCAGGCUUAUGCUUGCGCUAUCGGAUGAGCCCAAGUCGGAUUAGCUAGUUGGUGAGAUAAGAGCUCACCAAGGCGACGAUCCGUAACUGGUCUGAGAGGAUGAUCAGUCACACUGGAACUGAGACACGGUCCGGACUCCUACGGGAGGCAGCAGUGGGGAAUAUUGGACAAUGGGGGCAACCCUGAUCCAGCCAUGCCGCGUGUGUGAAGAAGGCCUUAGGGUUGUAAAGCACUUUCAGUGAGGAGGAAAAGUUAAUGGUUAAUACCCAUUAGCCGUGACGUUACUCACAAAAGAAGCACCGGCAAACUCCGUGCCAGCAGCCGCGGUAAUACGGAGGGUGCGAGCGUUAAUCGGAAUUACUGGGCGUAAAGCGCGCGUAGGCGGUUUGUUAAGCCGGUUGUGAAAUCCCUGAGCUCAACUCAGGAACUGCACCCGGAACUGGCAAGCUAGAGUAUAGUAGAGGAAGGUGGAAUUCCACGUGUAGCGGUGAAAUGCGUAGAUAUGUGGAGGAACAUCAGUGGCGAGGGCGGCCUUCUGGACUAAUACUGACGCUGAGGUGCGAAAGCGUGGGGAGCAAACAGGAUUAGAUAC